rnacentral:lncRNA from 1 species
AUAUGCAGCGGAAUAUAAUAUGAGGGAACAAUCGACAGAGAGAUCGAGAUAGAUGCAUAACAGAGAAGAACAAAUCAGAUCUGAGAAAGGAAUUCAGAUAUUUGUAACCUAGACCGGCGAAACCCUAGAAAGAGAGGAAACUUGAUUUGGACCGAUUAAACGGUGGAAAUGGUGUUUUAAUCGGUGGAGAUGGAAGAUCGAAGGUUGGAAUGGUGUUUAAUCGGUGUAAAAACGGAAUCAAUCGGUAGAAAUGGACGGAGAUGAUGAAUGAAGGUUUUAAUCGGUAGAAAACCUAGCAAAAUGGAGGAGAAGGAUAGAUUUAUGAAGAGAAAUGGCUUACUGUGGUUGAUGCAGUGGUUGCGAGGUUGAAACCCUAGCAGAGGAGGUUCGUGGCAGAGGAAGACGCAAGUGAUGUGUGUCUGAGGUGUGAGAAUGAAGAGGCAGCGUAGGAAAAUAGGGGGAGCCACGCGGCUGAAGUGUAUUGGUGUACGGUGGUGAUUAGGUGGAGGAGAGAGAAGCACGGUGGAUAAUGGGAAAUUGGAAAAUAAUGAAGUGUGCUUUGGAAGGAGGCUAGAGGUCUUUGGACUCUCUAGCCAAUGACUUUCAAGAGAGAAUAAUUUUCUGAAUUAGAAAAGUUUAUUCUCAUUAAGCUCAAAAGUGAAGUACAAUAAGGUAGGCAUGACUAUUUAUAGGACUAAAGAUCCUACAUGCCUAACACAAUACAAAAUACAUCAAAAAUAUACUAACUAAAGAAAGUGGGCUUGGGCCCCACGU